rnacentral:lncRNA from 1 species
AUAAGAUUCAAAUUUGUAGAGAGAAAAAGAGAGAAAAUAUAUUAUUUUCUUGUUGUCCAAGAUUCAAGAAUUAGUUUCUAGAUUAAUUGAAAGAAGGUGCCCACACGCCCGUGUAGUCUUUUCGUUGGAGAAUACCAUAGAAGGCUUGAAGGUAAAAAGCAUCAAUAUUCUUGCAAUUAAAGAAGACGGAAGUUCGCAGAUCAGAGUUAAUUAAAGGUUGAUCAUUGAACUUAGGUAAAAGAUUCGAAUCCUUUAAUUUUGUUAUGACAUACACGUGAACAUCUAGACGAUAUUGCUUAUUAAAGUAAAGAAACUUUUAAUUUCUGAUUAAUUCUACUUCUGCAUUCCAACAGUUGAUCCCUACAAUGAACUGAAAGGAGGACUUCACCAAUUUCUACGCUUGCGCAAGUUCCCUGUGGCUUACAGAAAGCCCCCUCAUGCUUGUUCGGAGUCUGCCGGCUCCAACCAGGAUUAAAAGGGUGGAAAGAAUCAUUUCCAAAAAAUUUAGCCCAGUAUAAUGUUGCAGGCAAUACCUGCAGUUUCUAAUGUCUAACUCGACACAUUUUCUUACUCCCGGCUAACCAAAUGCACAUAGAAGUGGAGUUCAGUCGUUCCAAAGUCAUGAAUUCUGAUUUUGGGAUCAGGUACACCGCAAUAGAAACGGGACUUUGGAUAAGGCUUGCCCUUGAUUUGGUGACAACACAUUGCUGGACCUGAGAAUAGCUAGUCGAGUUCUAAAACGGAAAUAAUAAUGUGAUGAAAAUUUUGUUUGCAUAUCAUCUUUAGCGCCUGUAUAGUGUGUAAUCGAGGAUUUUUCCGUGUCAUAUUGUCAAUAAUCCAAGUAAUAUUGUAGGUACAGUACGUGAGCUCAAACAAAACAAGUUGGGUGACCAGCAACAUUUGUAACGACCGCGAAUAAAAUAUGGUAACAAAUUACAUCAUCCCACUUCAAGAAGGAAUGUAAUUUUCUGAAAGAAAAUC